rnacentral:rRNA from 1 species
CAGAGGGUGCAAGCGUUGUUCGGAAUUACUGGGCGUAAAGCGCGUGUAGGUGGCGAUGUAAGUCGGGUGUGAAAUCCCUCAGCUUAACUGAGGAAGUGCACUCGAUACUGUGUCGCCUGAGUGUUGGAGGGGAUGGCGGAAUUCCCGGUGUAGAGGUGAAAUUCGUAGAUAUCGGGAGGAACACCUGUGGCGAAGGCGGCCAUCUGGACAACUACUGACACUGAGACGCGAAAGCGUGGGUAGCAAACAGGAUUAGAUACCCUGGUAGUCCACGCUGUAAACGAUGAGUGCUAGACGUCAUGGGUAUUGACCCCUGUGGUGUCGAAGUUAACACGUUAAGCACUCCGCCUGGGGAGUACGGUCGCAAGAUUA